ensembl:snoRNA
AGCCCUGGCGAUGGGCAAAGAGACACCUUGUUGGUGGUAGUAUUCUUAUAUCAGUCAGGGGCAGAGCAGAUGGUAGUCCAUUGUUCAUCCUAGCUUGAUGCCUGGCAUGGUGGUCUCAGCUGUCUUAUACCUAGGACUCAUAA